rnacentral:rRNA from 1 species
UACGAAGGGGGCUAGCGUUGCUCGGAUUUCCUGGGCGUAAAGGGCGCGUAGGCGGACAGUUUAGUCAGAGGUGAAAGCCCAGGGCUCAACCUUGGAAUUGCCUUUGAUACUGGCUGUCUUGAGUACGGGAGAGGUGAGUGGAACUCCGAGUGUAGAGGUGAAAUUCGUAGAUAUUCGGAAGAACACCAGUGGCGAAGGCGACUCACUGGCCCGUUACUGACGCUGAGGCGCGAAAGCGUGGGGAGCAAACAGG